UCCGAGUUGACCCCGGCAGUCUCCCAUGAGUCCCCGGCAUUAUCCGCUGGCAACAUGGAACGAGGGUUGCGCUCGUUGCGGGACUUAACCCAACAUCUCACGACACGAGCUGACGACAACCAUGCACCACCUGUGUGCGACCCUUACGGACCCACCAUCUCUGGAGGAUUUCCGCACAUGUCAAGCCUAGGUAAGGUUCUUCGCGUUGCAUCGAAUUAAGCAACAUGCUCCGCCGCUUGUGCGGGCCCCCGUCAAUUCCUUUGAGUUUUAGCCUUGCGGCCGUACUCCCCAGGCGGGGCGCUUAAUGCGUUAGCUGCGGCACGGAGACCGUGGAAUGGCCCCCACACCUAGCGCCCAACGUUUACGGCGUGGACUAC
rnacentral:misc_RNA from 1 species